rnacentral:rRNA from 1 species
AGAGCGAACGCUGGCGGCAGGCCUAACACAUGCAAGUCGAGCGCGUGUAGCAAUACACGAGCGGCAGACGGGAGAGUAACACGUGGGAACGCGCCCUUCGGUUCGGAAUAACUCAGGGAAACUUGAGCUAAUACCGGAUACGCCCUUACGGGGAAAGAUUUAUUGCCGAAGGAACGGCCCGCGUCCGAUUAGCUAGUUGGUGAGGUAACGGCUCACCAAGGCGACGAUCGGUAGCUGGUCUGAGAGGAUGACCAGCCUCACUGGGACUGAGACACGGCCCAGACUCCUACGGGAGGCAGCAGUGGGGAAUAUGGACAAUGGGCGCAAGCCUGAUCCAGCCAUGCCGCGUGGAUGAUGAAGGCCUUAGGGUUGUAAAGUCCUUUUAACGGGGAAGAUAAUGACGGUACCGUAGAAUAAGCCCCGGCUAACUUCGUGCCAGCAGCCGC